UUCUAGCCCCGAUUGCAGUGGAAAUCCUUUUUUGAAAAAAAAGAUUGCAGCGGAAAGCGGGAUUAAGC
rnacentral:sRNA from 1 species